GCGGGAAUAGCUCAGUUGGUAGAGCACGACCUUGCGAGUUCGAAUCUCGUUUCCCGCUCCA
rnacentral:tRNA from 2 species